rnacentral:lncRNA from 1 species
UGAAUCGGAAAGCGGUGAAACGUUGGGUUCACAUUGCGGUACCACAUGCAUAGAGUCACAUGUCUUGCAUUGAGUCACAUUAGAGUUAUGUGAUAAUUGAAUGUUUGCAUUGAUGUGAUUGUGAGGUGUGUAUGAGAUAUAGUAAUUGAAUUUGGUGAUGUUUGGAUACAUAAUUUGGCAAAAUAUGUGAUUAUGUGAUAAUUGUAGUUAUGUAUAUAAUUGGGAAUAUAGUAUUGGAUUGUAAUAUU